GUUUUUUUUCUACUAUAAAUUUUGACCUUAUUGUACUUUUUUGGGACUUUUCAUGAUCUUUGUUAUAUUACAGGGCGAAAAUUAUAUGUUCAGACAUUGUUUUCGAAUAUUUUGCAUGUAUCAAAGCUCUUAUAAACAAGAUAGGGUAUUCCUACAUAGCUGGUGGGACCCACGGCAAAUGGAACAUAAAGUCUUCAAAAAAGAAUCGAUACGAUUGCAUUGCAUGUAGUAAUGGAUGCUACCAUACCAGCACUAAUGCACCGGAUCCCAUCAGAACUCCGCAGUUAAGCGUGCUCGGGCAAGAUUAGUACUAGUAUGGGUGACCUCCCGGAAAGUCUUCGUGUUGCAUUCAUAUUUUUUUAGUUUUUUUUAUUUU
rnacentral:sRNA from 1 species